GUAGGGUGGGCAAGCGUUGUCCGGAAUUAUUGGGCGUAAAGCGCGCGCAGGGCGGUCCUUUAAGUCUGAUGUGAAAGCCCACGGCUCAACCGUGGAGGGUCAUUGGAAACUGGGGGGACUUGAGUACAGAAGAGGAAAGCGGAAUUCCAAGUGUAGCGGUGAAAUGCGUAGAGAUUUGGAGGAACACCAGUGGCGAAGGCGGCUUUCUGGUCUGUAACUGACGCUGAGGCGCGAAAGCGUGGGGAGCAAACAGGAUUAGAUACCCUGGUAGUCCACGCCGUAAACGAUGAGUGCUAAGUGUUAGGGGGUUUCCGCCCCUUAGUGCUGCAGCUAACGCAUUAAGCACUCCGCCUGGGGAGUACGGCCGCAAAGGCUG
rnacentral:rRNA from 1 species